rnacentral:rRNA from 1 species
UACGGAGGGGGCAAACGUUGUUCGGAAUUACUGGGCGUAAAGGGUGAGUAGGCGGUUCGAUAAGUCUUGCGUGAAAUCUCUCGGCUUACCCGGGAAACUGCGCUGGAAACUGUCGAGCUCGAGGAUGGAAGAGGCAGAUGGAAUUCCUGGUGUAGCGGUGGAAUGCGUAGAUAUCAGGAAGAACACUCGUGGCGAAGGCGGUCUGCUGGUCCAUCCCUGACGCUGAAUCACGAAAGCCAGGGGAGCAAAC